CGGUGUAGCAGAGUAGGGGCCAUUUUAGGACAACUCCCACCGUGACUACCUCCCCCUAUCCACCUCCACCAUGCUGCCAUCCCAAGCUCCUAUGGGCACACUAGUCAUAUCCAAUCAGACAGCCAUAGGAAGCUGACACAUACACACACACACACACACACACACAAAGCUCACAAAGCUCACAAACCGUAUCUGUGAGGUACUGGCAUAUCAAAAGGAGAGGAGCGUGAAAGAGGAAGACAGCUUUGUGCUCUCAAAACAGAACGCGGAGACUGAAACAUGGCAGAGGAGGUAUCAGUGACGGCUUCAGCCAUGUUCUCCAUGGAUACCUUCAAAUCUAUCCUGUUUCCAUCCAGACGGAUAAAAACAGAGGAGGGGGAAGUAAGUUUAUAAUGUUUAUACAUCAGGUCACCAAGACAACCCAGAGUUCUCCCUCUUCAUAACACAAACACCAAAUUCCCCACAGCAAAACUAAUAUCUUAAAGUCCCAAUGAGCAUCUUUAAAAGCAGAAUGGUGUUAUCUGACUUAAUUCUGCCCAUGUCAAAAAUCACCUAUAUAUCAGGGGGAAGCUAAAGCCCACUGGGCACAUAUGUCAAUUCAACGUCUAUUCCAUGUUGGUUCAAGGUAGUUUCGUUGAAAUGACGUGGAAUCAACGUUGAUUCAACCAGUGGGUGCCCAGUGGAAGGUAUCUGACAAAAUAAUACAGAUUUGGUUCCUGAGUUAAUUAAGCAAUUAAAAAUCCCAUCAU
rnacentral:lncRNA from 1 species